GUGCUAGCUUCGGCAGCACACAGACUAAAAUUGGAACGAUACAGAGAUUAGCAUGGCCCCUGCGCAAGGAUGACACACAAAUUCGUGAAGCAUUCCAUAUUUUA
rnacentral:snRNA from 1 species